CAUCGCGUGGACUUGGUGGACCACGGUCCAAGAGAGGGGGUUGUUUUUUCGCAGCGACAGGGCAGAUCUCGGCGAAGCUGCGUUCCCUUGGCAGGGCAGAAGCCCCUCCGAGCCAGCCCUGGGGAUUUCACCCCUCCUCCCGCGGCGCGCCCUCGCAGAACUGGAUGCAGUACUGCAGGUGGGGUCUCACCAGAGCAGAGCAGAAUGGCAGAAUCACCUCCCUCGACUUGCUGGACAUGCUUCUUUUGAUGCAGCCCAGGAUAAGUACUACUACAAAGGCCAAGCUGACUCCUCGGCAUUGCAACCCCUCUACCACUUCUGCUGAUGUCUGGCCACACCAUCUGGUGUUAGUACAAAGCUGCCAUGAAGGGUACUGCUCCUGGGAUGAGGCAGAGAUGUCAUAUCAUCAUCAAAAUGUAAGAUGAUCUAGAGGAUUGAAAACCUGCUGGUAACAUCAUCUGGUGACAAGAGCAUCACGGCCUGCCUGCCCUGCCCAGGAGAUUGCAAGAGUCAUCAUACAGUGACCAGAUUCUUGGCAAAUGGACCAAACCUCUCACCAAGAAAGCAAAUGGUCUGAGCAGGAACCAAUAAGGAGGCUUCAGGCUGGAUGACUUCUGUUUAGUCACAGUUAAAAUGCAAAAAAUAACCGUUUCUAAAGAGCUGAUUAGGGAAAGGAAAACAAGGAAAGAAAUAAACAAGUAAAGAAAUGACCAGGAUGGGCCAUUUAGCCUCAUUCAGAUCUCAGGUUCAGGAAAAGCAGAAGUGUUUUCCAUAUUACACAGAUCAAUUCAAGUAGAUCCAAACACCAUAGAAAUUUUUCUAGGUAACAAGCCUCCUUUUUCUUUUGUUCAGAUGUUUUCUGAAGAUAUUUGAAAUGAAAUCAUUCCAAAAUCAUUUUGUUUUGUGAUGUAGCUUCUAUGAUGACCAUUUCAUGUAAAGACAAAGCCUUCUGUGUGCCACUCAGUCAGUAAAAUCCAAAUCUGCAUUUAUUAACCCUCAGAAGGAGGGAGGGGAAAGUGGUGGCUCAUGACUCUGACCUCAAACAUUCACAGAUCUCACAACACAAGAAUUGAAGGAGAGGAAAAAAGAGGAGUAUCAAACCUCUUAAUGUGGGAACCCAUAUAUUCAGAGUUAUUUACCAGCUCUUUCAUUGCAGUAGCACUGUCUGAGCCCUAUUGGUGUCUAAUAAAAGAGGAUUCAUUGCGUUUAUUGUAACGCCAUGCCUGCCUCCUUCAGAGUAGGACGUUAUGCUGGGGAUGAAAGUGGCUGCAAUGUUGAGGCUGUGCACAAUGCCAGGCCAGCAGCAGCAUGAAGCCCCAAGCCACAUGGGUGGAGGUGGUUGCAGAGCAGGUGUCCAGAGCUCCUGGCCAUAGCAGAGCUGUGCAUCGUGGUACAGAUGUGUAAACCAGUCCAGGAUUAACCACAUAUCUGCCCAGGUGUUCAAGGUGAGACUGGGCUUCUCUUGAUUCAUGCGCAACACCAGAGGCUCCAAGCUCCCAUCUAGAAAGCCUUAAAAAGACGCAGAAAAAGCCAGAAUGUGAGUGGAAGCAAGCUUUGAUCCCUGCCCCCUGACUGAAGAGACUGGGAGUUAUUGUAAAAAGGAAUGGCUGGUGACACUUUGCCUGUAUUCAGCCAGUGACUUCAGGAGGACCCAGACUGAAUCUAUUGAUUUCUUCCUCCUGAAAGGUAAUCACAACCCUGUGUCAGUGGGUAAACAUACGGCACCCAGGAAUUCGUUGACCACUGUCAUAGAAAAGAGCGUAAUAAACUCAGAUAUUGGAUUAUUUGCAAAUUGCAGCAGGGAAACUCAUCUAACCUUUCUGCAGCUCUUUUAAGUGGUAUUAUUAUUAGUCCUUGUUCGGAGGAUGGCAGGCAGGCAGCCAGUAAAGCACUUAGAGUUUACCAUCAUCCAUCUGCUCCUCUAUAGAUUUGAAGACUGUAGAAAUUUUCCUUUUUAGGACUUACUUGGAAUAUGAUUAGUGGGCCACUUGCCAUGUUGCUAUACAAGUGUGUCUGUGUGCUUUAGGCAGAGGUAUGUGACACGUAUU